rnacentral:miRNA from 1 species
CAAAGAUAAAGAGAGUGAGAGAGAGAGAGAGAGAGCGAGUACCGUUAAAACAAGUGCGGAAGCAGUGUACCGUUAGAUGCAAAACAGCAGCCAGUCAGUCAGUCCAAUCCGUUUGGCUCUCUCUCUCUCUCUCUCUCUCUCUCUCUGUCUACCUCCAUGU